GAUGAACGCUGGCGGCGUGCCUAAUACAUGCAAGUCGAGCGAACAGACGAGGAGCUUGCUCCUCUGACGUUAGCGGCGGACGGGUGAGUAACACGUGGAUAACCUACCUAUAAGACUGGGAUAACUUCGGGAAACCGGAGCUAAUACCGUAUAAUAUAUUGAACCGCAUGGUUCAAUAGUGAAAGACGGUUUUGCUGUCACUUAUAGAUGGAUCCGCGCCGCAUUAGCUAGUUGGUAAGGUAACGGCUUACCAAGGCAACGAUGCGUAGCCGACCUGAGAGGGUGAUCGGCCACACUGGAAUUGAGACACGGUCCAGACUCCUACGGGAGGCAGCAGUAGGGAAUCUUCCGCAAUGGGCGAAAGCUUGACGGAGCAACGCCGCGUGAGUGAUGAAGGUCUUCGGAUCGUAAAACUCUGUUAUUAGGGAAGAACAAAUGUGUAAGUAACUAUGCACGUCUUGACGGUACCUAAUCAGAAAGCCACGGCUAACUACGUG
rnacentral:rRNA from 1 species